rnacentral:rRNA from 1 species
CACUUUCAACAACGGAUCUCUUGGCUCUCGCAUCGAUGAAGAACGUAGCGAAGUGCGAUAAGUAAUGUGAAUUGCAAAAUUCCGUGAAUCAUCGAAUCUUUGACUGCAAAUUGCACUCUCUGGCAACCCGGGGAGUAUGCCUGUUUGAGGGUCAGU